ACANGCCAGCGACGGCACCACACUGCAGUCGAGCGAUGAAGACAUAACAGACACCUUCGGGAAGAAGUUAAGUCGGAUUAGCGGCGGACGGGUGAGUAACACGUGAGUAACCUGCCUUUGACACGGGGAUAGCCACCGGAAACGGUGAUUAAUACCCGAUGAAAUCGUAAUGACACAUGUCAUAACGAUCAAAGUGAAUUAGCGGUCAAAGAUGGACUCGCGUCUGAUUAAUUAGUUGGUGAGGUAACGGCUCACCAAGAUAGCGAUCAGUAGCCGGCCUGAGAGGGUGAACGGCCACAUUGGAACUGAGAAACGGUCCAAACUCCUACGGGAGGCAGCAGUGGGGAAUAUUGCACAAUGGGGGAAMCCCUGAUGCAGCGACGCCGCGUGAGCGAAGAAGGAUUUCGAUUCGUAAAGCUCUGUCCUAUGGGGAAGAUAAUGACGGUACCAUAGGAGGAAGCCCCGGCUAACUACGUGCCAGCAGCCGCGGUAAUACGUAGGGGGCGAGCGUUGUCCGGAAUCACUGGGCGUAAAGGGUUCGCAGGCGGUUUAGAAAGUCAGAUGUGAAAGGCGAGGGCUCAACCCUCGUAAGCAUUUGAAACUUCUAAACUUGAGUAGUGAAGAGGUAAGUGGAAUUCCUAGUGUAGCGGUGAAAUGCGUAGAUAUUAGGAGGAAUACCGGUGGCGAAGGCGACUUACUGGUCACAAACUGACGCUGAGGAACGAAAGCGUGGGUAGCAAACAGGAUUAGAUACCCUGGUAGUCCACGCCGUANACGAUGAGUGCUAGGUGUCGGAGUAAUUCGGUGCCGCAGUUAACACAAUAAGCACUCCGCCUGGGGAGUACGUGCGCAAGCAUGAAACUCAAAGGAAUUGACGGGGACCCGCACAAGCAGCGGAGCAUGUGGUUUAAUUCGAARSMACGCGAAGAACCCUUACMRGGNNYUGACAUAAUAUUGACCCCUCUAGAGAUAGAGGCUUCCCUUYSGGGACAGUAUUACAGGUGGUGCAUGGUUGUCGUCAGCUCGUGUCSUGAGAUGGUKGGGUWAAGUCCCGCAMCGAGCGCAACCCUUACCUUUAGNUKSCAGCAUGUAAAGAUGGGAACYCUAAAGGGACUGCCGAUGAUAAWUCGGAGGAAGGUGGGGAUGACGUCAAAUCAUCAUGCCCUUUAUGUCCUGGGCUACACACGUGCUACAAUGGUCGGAACAAAGAGCGGGCAAGCUAGCGAUAGCAAGCGAAUCUCAAAAAGCCGAUCUCAGUUCGGAUUGUUCUCUGCAACUCGAGAACAUGAAGUCGGAGUUGCUAGUAAUCGCAGAUCAGAAUGCUGCGGUGAAUGCGUUCCCGGGUCUUGUACACACCGCCCGUCACACCAUGGGAGUUGGCAAUACCCGAAGUCGUCGAGCUACCGCAAGAAGCGAUCCUGAGUUGCGCG
rnacentral:rRNA from 1 species